UCCAUAUAAAAAUAUCUGGUAAUAUUUUAAUGAACUUCUGUGGGUUUUCUCCAUGAGAAAAGAGUUUGGCGUGACCCAGAGUCUCUAAACUGGGUUAUUGCUCCCCCAGUGCCAAAGGUGUUCUUCCAGGCACAACAUCCUGCUGGGAAGGGAGAGGGAAUGUCCUGGCAUGGCCACUCCACCCUGGCAAACCAACACCACUGCACCACACCAGGGGCUUCCCACCGAAUUCCCCCAAAACCCCCCACGAGGGUUCAUUGCUCCAGCUCAGGGUGAGCUGCUUCACAGGAGCCUCUGGGUAUCAGCACUGGGAUUUCUUGUUUAUUAAUAUGACAAAGAACUUCUUCAGCUCCACAGGGGGUGGGGGCAUCCCUGGGAUUUCAGCUCUCAGGGAGCACCUGUCUAAUCCUCUGUGGAGGAGCACCUCUGCCCCAUCACCUCUGUCCUGUCAUCCCUGCCACCAUCAUCCCUGUUCCUUCAACCCUGUCACCAUCACCUCCAUCCCAUCACUCCUGUCCCCAUUAUCCCUGUCACCACCAUCUGUCACCAUCAUCCCCGUCCCUUCAACCCUGUCGCCAUCGCCUCUGUCCUACCAUCCCUGUGACCAUCAUCCAUCUCAUCAUCAUCAGUCCCCACCAUCCUGUCCCAUCACCUCUGUCAUCACCACCACUAUCACCAUCACCUCUGUCGUCAUCUCUGUCACCAUCAUCUCUGUCCCAUCACCCCUGUCCCAUCAACCCUGUCACCACCUCUGUCACCACCACGCUUGCCCCAUCAUCUGUCUCCUCAUCUCUAUCACCAUCAUUCCUGUCACCGUUCCCCCUGUCCCAUCACCUCUGUCCCACCAACACUGUCACCACCAUGCCUGUCCCAUCAUCCCUGUCCCACUACCUCUGUCCCCUCAUCUCCACCCAGGAGGGAAAUCAGAGCCAUCCCAGGGGCAUGCACCCACCAGUUUAACCCCAUUAAACACCACCUCCACUUGCUCUGGAGUCCAGGAUUAA
rnacentral:lncRNA from 1 species